CUACGGGAGGCUGCAGUGGGGAAUCUUGCGCAAUGGGGGAAACCCUGACGCAGCGACGCCGCGUGGAGGAUGAAGGUCUUCGGGUUGUAAACUCCUUUUGUAGGGGAAAAUAAUGAUGGUACCCUACGAAUAAGCCACGGCUAACUCUGUGCCAGCAGCCGCGGUAAGACAGAGGUGGCGAGCGUUGUUCGGAAUUACUGGGCUUAAAGGGCGAGUAGGCGGUAGAGCAAGUCCAAGGUGGAAUCCUAUGGCUCAACCAUAGAAUUGCCUUGGAAACUGUUUUACUUGAGUCAGUGAGGGGAGGGCAGAAUUCCUGGUGUAGCGGUGAAAUGCGUAGAUAUCAGGAGGAAGGCCUGUGGCGAAGGCGGCCCUCUGGCACUGGACUGACGCUGAGGCGCGAAAGCGUGGGGAGCAAACAGGAUUAGAUACCCUCGUAGUC
rnacentral:rRNA from 1 species